rnacentral:rRNA from 1 species
CCUGAUGCAGCAACGACCGCGUGAGGUAUGAAGGCCUUUGGGUGUGUGAAGCCUCUGUCCUAGGGGAAGAAAAAAAUGACGGUACCCGAGGAGGAAGCCCCGGCUAACUACGUGCCAGCAGCCGCGGUAAUACGUAGGGGGCAAGCGUUAUCCGGAAUUAUUGGGCGUAAAGAGUGCGUAGGUGGUCUACUAAGCGCGAGGUGAAAGGCAAUGGCUCAACCAUUGUUAGCCUUGUGAACUGGCAGACUUGAGUGCAAGAGAGGAAAGCGGAAUUCCUAGUGUAGCGGUGAAAUGCGCAGAUAUUAGGAGGAACACCGGCGGCGAAGGCGGCUUUCUGGAUUGUAACUGACACUGAGGCACGAAAGCGUGGGUAGCAAACAGGAUUAGAUACCCUGGUAGUCCACGCCGUAAACGAUGAGCACUAGGUGUCGGGACAUGAGUCUCGGUGCCGCAGUUAACGCAAUAAGUGCUCCGCCUGGGGAGUACGCACGCCAGUGUAAAACUCAAGGAAUUGACGGGGACCGCACAGCAGCGAGCAUGU